rnacentral:rRNA from 1 species
UGGGGAAUUUUGGACAAUGGGCGAAAGCCUGAUCCAGCAAUGCCGCGUGUGUGAAGAAGGCCUUCGGGUUGUAAAGCACUUUUGUCCGGAAAGAAAUCCUUGGCUCUAAUACAGUCGGGGGAUGACGGUACCGGAAGAAUAAGCACCGGCUAACUACGUGCCAGCAGCCGCGGUAAUACGUAGGGUGCAAGCGUUAAUCGGAAUUACUGGGCGUAAAGCGUGCGCAGGCGGUUUGCUAAGACCGAUGUGAAAUCCCCGGGCUCAACCUGGGAACUGCAUUGGUGACUGGCAGGCUAGAGUAUGGCAGAGGGGGGUAGAAUUCCACGUGUAGCAGUGAAAUGCGUAGAGAUGUGGAGGAAUACCGAUGGCGAAGGCAGCCCCCUGGGCCAAUACUGACGCUCAUGCACGAAAGCGUGGGGAGCAAACAGGAUUAGAUACCCUGGUAGUCCACGCCCUAAAACGAUGUCAACUAGUUGUUGGGGAUUCAUUUCCUUAGUAACGUAGCUAACGCGUGAAGUUGACCGCCUGGGGAGUACGGUCGCAAGAUUAAAACCUAAAGGAAUUGACGGGGUCAUA